CGGCGGACGGGUGAGUAACACGUGGAUAACCUACCUAUAAGACUGGGAUAACUUCGGGAAACCGAGCUAAUACCGGAUAAUAUAUUGAACCGCAUGGUUCAAUAGUGAAAGACGGUUUUGCUGUCACUUAUAGAUGGAUCCGCGCCGCAUUAGCUAGUUGGUAAGGUAACGGCUUACCAAGGCAACGAUGCGUAGCCGACCUGAGAGGGUGAUCGGCCACACUGGAACUGAGACACGGUCCAG
rnacentral:rRNA from 1 species